UCUGAAUACUCUUCUAUGUGGCAGCC
rnacentral:sRNA from 1 species